AUUCACCUGAUGCACAAUACCAGACCCAGGUGGAACAACAAGCAUGUUUUGGAAAGCAUUGGAUCCCCACUUAAGGAAGGCAAAUCUCUCCUUAUUCCUUUGGAAUUCAAGCUCCAUAUUAGCCUGGACUGCAUUUUCUGACCUUGUUACAUCAACUUGAACUGAGUGAUCAAUAACUAGGUCGACAGGAACCAAUGGAUUAAUCUUGUCAGAAUCACUGCCAAGGUUGUUCAUGGCAUCACGCAUGCAAGCAAGGUCCACCACAGCUGGUACACCAGUAAAAUCCUGCAGCAAGACACGGGCAGGCUUGAAGGGUAUCUCCACAAGCUUAGGUGCAGAAUUUUCCCAGUCAAUAAUCUUCUCAACAUCUUCCUUUUUCACUUGAAAGUUGUCACAAUUACGG
rnacentral:misc_RNA from 1 species